UCAAGCCUCAUCUGAUCGCGUCACGAAAUACCAAAAAAUAAACAAUCCGUCAAUCGUUGAAUCGAGUCCUUGCUGCAACGAAAGUAUGGGGAGGGUCUCGUUAAACUCAGUUUACCAAGACGUAGUCUAUGGAAAUCUUUUCUUUGGCCUUGGAAACCAUAAAUUUCGCAACAAUGUGCUGGAAGUUUCUGGAAAUAGCAAAGGCAAUAAAAUGUGAUCAACUCUUUAUGGUACAAAUCAUGGAUGAUGAAAUUACCAAUAAAACUACUGGAGCAAAAUACCCUGAAAAGCGCAAAAGACCUGCCAAGACAGCUACAAAUGACUUCACUUUCAAGAUCAACCUGCAGUUACCGUAUUUGCCGGCAUAUUACACACCUUAUGUUUUUUUUACUGUAAAAAGUAUAAAAGACUGCCCUGCACCUAAUGGGGCCAUAUUACAGGUGGGAGACCAAACGCCGUAGACUAUGCCUUUCCUACAGCAAGCUUAAUGGGUAGGCACAAAAAUUGUUGCUAAUAAUAAAACAUUGAAAAACAAGUCUAAUUAUUAAAAUAAGUUGUUACUAAUAAAAAAAACUAUUGAAAACAAGCCGAAUUAUCCGUCUGUUAUCACAAACUUAUGAAAAAUUGAUUACGAUACGUUGGUAGUUAGCCUGUCAGCUAUUGGCAAUGAGUGGAUGUAAACAAAAGCAUAAAGCCACCUGUUGUUUAUUUAUGGUAAAUUUCAAACAAAGUCCAUACUUUAUUUCAGUAUAUUCUUACAUUAUUGUAUUUCAUGCACAGGAUCAUGCAUUUUACCCUACAAAAUCACUUUUAAAAUAUCUUUCAAUAAAUGUAUGAUGAAACAUA